rnacentral:rRNA from 1 species
UCGGGGUGGAUUAGUGGCGAACGGGUGAGUAACACGUGGGCAAUCUGCCCUGCACUCUGGGACAAGCCCUGGAAACGGGGUCUAAUACCGGAUAACACCCUCGCAGGCAUCUGCGAGGGUUAAAAGCUCCGGCGGUGCAGGAUGAGCCCGCGGCCUAUCAGCUUGUUGGUGAGGUAAUGGCUCACCAAGGCGACGACGGGUAGCCGGCCUGAGAGGGCGACCGGCCACACUGGGACUGAGACACGGCCCAGACUCCUACGGGAGGCAGCAGUGGGGAAUAUUGCACAAUGGGCGAAAGCCUGAUGCAGCGACGCCGCGUGAGGGAUGACGGCCUUCGGGUUGUAAACCUCUUUCAGCAGGGAAGAAGCGAAAGUGACGGUACCUGCAAAAGAAGCGCCGGCUAACUACGUGCCAGCAGCCGCGGUAAUACGUAGGGCGCAAGCGUUGUCCGGAAUUAUUGGGCGUAAAGAGCUCGUAGGCGGCUUGUCACGUCGAUUGUGAAAGCCCGAGGCUUAACCUCGGGUCUGCAGUCGAUACGGGCUAGCUAGAGUGUGGUAGGGGAGAUCGGAAUUCCUGGUGUAGCGGUGAAAUGCGCAGAUAUCAGGAGGAACACCGGUGGCGAAGGCGGAUCUCUGGGCCAUUACUGACGCUGAGGAGCGAAAGCGUGGGGAGCGAACAGGAUUAGAUACCCUGGUAGUCCACGCCGUAAACGGUGGGAACUAGGUGUUGGCGACAUUCCACG